CUUGUGUGUUUGCACGGUACCUGGCACUCCUGUGUGCCUGUUUGUCUCCCUGCCAGACUCCCCCUAAGAGCUGGGACCAUGCCCUGCUGUAUCCUUGGUGCUUGGCACAUUCCUUGGCAUGGAAUAGAAUUCAAAAUAUUUGGAAUAAACAAAGGACGCCGCCAUAGGGAUUCCCAGCUGGUUGACUCAUCCUUCUGUGGAAGCCAAAGAAUGGACCCAGACAUGGAUGAAGGUCGGGUGAAGGUCAUGAACACUGCAACACAGGCGCCAUCCCAUGUGACGUCCUUUCUGAACGACUCCACUGAAGACGAGCUUUGCUCUGACUCGCGAGGCCUGCGAAGCCAGGCAGAAGUCAGGGUGUUGGGAAACGGCCAAAGAGAGGAGAUAAGAGGUUGUGGCUGUGUCCGUUCCCUUGGAGCCUCCAGUGCAGCCUGACACGUGGUAGACUUUAGAGAAACGCUCACUCCCUUCUAUUCAUCAGUAUGGCGGCAGUACCAGCAAAGAAGAGAAUGCUAAUGCACAUUUCUGAGUCCCAAAUCCAAGCGCAAACCAUCACCAAAUAGGGACUAUUGGUAAAAGCCCAGUCACGGGAAAUUAAACACGAAUGUUGCUAUAAAGUGCUUUGGGGUUGUUCACGGGAGAAAUGAAUACCAAAGAGACAGAGACUGAGGGAGCCAGUCAGCAUCGAACUGGAUAACGGCUCAAUAGUCGGGUCCUCCCCAAAGAGUAAGGUCCGGGAGGUCCAGAGCACUGCCUGGAACAAGCAGGCACAACGGAAGGGCUCAGAAACUGAACCUGCAGGAGAUCCAGAGGAACUCUUAACACUUUCUUUUUACUCAGCCUGAGACGAGCCCUUAUGUGGCCAGAGAAGACUGGCCCCAGUCCCGUCUCUGACCUCUAGCGCAGGUGGAGCCCUGCGAUGGAAAACGAAGACACAGGGACAGCGCUUCUCCAGGAAAAUACGUCCUCAGGAAGCUCAAGUCCUUUCACACGGAUUUUGUGUUCAUCAGAUUUUGAUUAUUCAUUUCUCCCAAAGAUCUUUCUAAGAAUGAAGUAUGCACUGAGCCGUAAACACAAACAUUCUGAUUUUGGUGGUCUCAGUAUCCAAAACUGUACCUUCCACCGUGCAUUAAGCCAGUGGGAACCCACAUUUAAAGGCAUAAGACAGCUACAGAUUUGUAAAUGUAAGCUGCUCUCAGAAGGAAUAUGACCUUGGGAGGCAUCCUUCUUUGGCCAAAGACAAGUCCGCGAGAGGGACUGGCUGGUUGGCUGGAGGCAGCCAACCCUCCAGGCAACUAGGAGAGUGAACACUGCAGUCCCGCAAUGGGGGACCGUACUGCCUACGGCUUCUAAACACGCAGGUUAACUAGUGAGAGGCCGGUCUAAGGUGGAAAUGGCACCUAAAAACCUGUUCUGGUUUUGGUCUAGUCGCUAAGUUGUGUCGACUCUUGCAGUCCCGUGACUGUAGCCUGCCAGGCUCCUCUGUCCCUGGGGUUUCCCAGGCAAGAACACUGGAAUGGGUUGCCACUUCUGUUGCUGUCACAGUAACAAGACCCACCAUCCCCUCCUCAAUUCAAGAUCCCUCUGAAGGCUCCUCCCAGCUGGAGUUCACACAGGAUUAACCGAGGCCUUUGUGUGUUGACCGUGUUGCAAUUCAACUACUCGCCCUGCACAAGCCUGUCUCCUUCACUCCUUCAAUAGACAUGGAUUCUAAGAGCUCGCCCCGAUAAAUGGACUGUGUGCAAAAAAAGAAAAUAAAGGUGUAAGACACUAUGCCUUGAGUGUCCUUCCCUGAUGUUCAUCCCAGGCUCAGCCAGAAGCAGUUUGCCACCCUCACAUCCUGAUAAAUGUAUUCUCAGCUCGGAUGCUACCAUCAAACUUUCCAAAGCCAUUAAUCAAAUUUCUUUUCACGUGGCUAGAUGCAGUGCUGCUUCAGGACUUGCUGAGCUGCUCCAUCUCAGAAGCCUGUGAGUGGCUGUUGAACGUCUUGGUGCCCUUGCCCACCCCUGCCCGUCACCGGGGUGGAGAGCUGCCUGUUGUUAGGCAGCGGGGCAGGGGCUCUAACCCAGCCGGCAGCUGCACCAUCUUUAUUGGAGAAAGC
ensembl:lncRNA